GAUGAACGCUGGCGGCGUGCCUAAUACAUGCAAGUCGAGCGAACAGACGAGAGUGCUUGCACUCUCUGACGUUAGCGGCGGACGGGUGAGUAACACGUGGGUAACCUACCUAUAAGACUGGGAUAACUUCGGGAAACCGGAGCUAAUACCGGAUAAUAUUUAGCUUCGCAUGAAGCAAUAGUGAAAGACGGUUCUGCUGUCACUUAUAGAUGGACCCGCGGUGUAUUAGCUAGUUGGUGAGGUAACGGCUCACCAAGGCAACGAUGCAUAGCCGACCUGAGAGGGUGAUCGGCCACACUGGGACUGAGACACGGCCUAGACUCCUACGGGAGGCAGCAGUAGGGAAUCUUCCGCAAUGGACGAAAGUCUGACGGAGCAAUGCCGCGUGAGUGAAGAAGGUUUUCGGAUCGUAAAACUCUGUUGUAAGGGAAGAACAAUUACGUUAGUAACUGAACGUACCUUGACGGUACCUUACCAGAAAGCCACGGCUAACUACGUG
rnacentral:rRNA from 1 species